GGAUGUGAGGGCGAUCUGCCUGCAACAUCUGUCACCCCAUUGAUCGCCAGGGUUGAUCCGGCUGAUCUGGUUGGCUAGGUGGGUGUCCCCUUCCUCCCUCACCUCUCCAAGUGUGUCCCUCUUGAAGCUGCAUGCUCAGUCGAAGAGGAAGACCAUCCCUGAUAGAGGAGGACCGGUCUUUGAUCAAGGGUAUAGGAGUAGCUGCACUCCCCUGCUGGAACCUCUAAACAAGCUCUCAAGAAAAGGGCCUCUCUGCAUAUCCAUCCAUCAUGAUCCUGGUCCUCAAGUUUCA
rnacentral:snRNA from 10 species